rnacentral:tRNA from 1 species
GCCCGAGUGGCGGAAUUGGCAGACGCGCUAGCUUCAGGUGCUAGUGUUCGCAAGAACGUGCAGGUUCAACCCCUGUUUCGGGCACCA